AUCUUUGGUUCAUAAGUAUGAUGAUUGGGUAUACACGCAGUGUACAUGUGAUAUGUCUCCAUCAAAUCUUAUUAUUAUGUAGACACAUUACCUGUCUGAAA